rnacentral:lncRNA from 1 species
CACUACUAGAAAAAAAUUAAUCUGGGACGGAAUUUUCCGUCGCACAGUAGUACAAAUUUCUGUCCCGAUUUCAUUUUGGGACGGAAUUUGGGACAAAAUAUUUUCGUCGCAAUUCGCUCGUCGCAAUUUGUUGGGGACGGAAUUUUUACUUCCGUCACACAUUCGAGACGGAUUUAGGGACGAAAUAUAAUUAUAUGGUUAUACACAUUAAUACAUUCCGUCCCAAUAUUGCGACAAAUUUCUUAAUUUCCGUCCCAAUUUGGCGACAGAUUACUUGCACUCCGUCCCAAUUUAUUUAUUUAUUUCCAAAUGUUGGGACANNNNNNNNNNNNNAAUUCCGUCACAGAUAAAUUAUGGGUGACUGGUUUUAUUUAUAAUUUUUCCACCUAUUAAUGCUUUUAUUAGUUUAAAAAAUUCAUCCCAAACUACAGACUGUUUGCAAACAUCAAUCAUUCCAU